GUGCGGUGUGACAUUUUUAACCGAUUUUUGUUGCUCGAUUUUAAUCGGACAACAUCAAAACGUUUUGAUAUUUUACGAUUUUUGUCGGUGGAUUUUUAAGUAUAACCAAUCAGAUUUCAUGCUGUGAUCACGUGCUUGUAUUUAUUUGGCAACAUGGCGGCUACAGUUCAGGGAGCGUAUUUUUUUCGUAAUCGUGUGCGGAGUAUACCGAUGUAUAUCGGUAUAUCAAACGAUUUUUAUCGGCCGACUAAAAUCGCAUCGUGUGCGCCAGGCUUAACCAGGAAAAUAGGGUUAUUUUUAUAUGUCACCAGAGUGUCUUAGAGUGUAGUAUAUAGCCAG